rnacentral:rRNA from 1 species
GACGAACGCUGGCGGCGUGCUUAACACAUGCAAGUCGAACGGAAAGGCCCUGUACUUGUGGGAAGCGGGUGUGGCGAAAACGGGAGUGUAACGCGAGUGACCUGCCCUUUUCUUUGGGAUAACAUCAGGAAACAGGGGUUAAAAUCGGAUAGGAACUCUUGCUACAUGGGGGGGGUGGGAAAGUUUCGGAGGUUGGGGAUGGAAGGGCGGCUUAGCAGCGUGUUGGUGGGGUGGUGGAGUACCAAGGCACUGAGGGGUUGACGGCCUGGGAAGGUGACCGGCCACAAUGUGACUGAGGUAGGGGCCAGACUGCUACGGGGGGCAGCGGUGGAAAAUAGGGCACACAGGGCGGAAGCCGGAUGCAACAACGCCGCGUGCGGGAAGACUGCCUUCGGGUAGUAAACCGCUUUCGCCUGUGACGAAGCGUGAGUGACGGUAAUGAGUAAAGAAGCACCGGCUAACUACGUG